rnacentral:ncRNA from 1 species
CGCGGUCCUCGACAGUGGCUUCCGGAACCUCACGACCAUCGUGUCCGAGCGUCCGGAGGCUUCGAUCGAAGACCGGG